rnacentral:tRNA from 1 species
GGAUUGUGGCUCAGCGGUGGAAUGCUCACCUAGCAUGUGUGAGGCCCUAGGUUCGAUCCUCAGCACCA